rnacentral:rRNA from 1 species
GACGAACGCUGGCGGCGCGCUUAACACAUGCAAGUCGAGCGACGAAAGGUCCUUCGGGGCCCUGAGAGCGGCGAACGGGUGAGUAACACGUGGGUAACCUACCCUCGGUUUCGGGAUAGCCCGGGGAAACCCGGAUUAAUACCGAAUGGCCUCUCCGGCUCAUGGGCCGGUGAGGAAAGGUAGCUUCGGCCUCCGACCGAGGACGGGCCCGCGGCCGAUUAGCUUGUUGGCGGGGUAAUGGCCCACCAAGGCGACGAUCGGGAGCUGGUCUGAGAGGACGAUCAGCCACACUGGGACUGAGACACGGCCCAGACUCCUACGGGAGGCAGCAGUGGGGAAUCUUGCGCAAUGGGCGAAAGCCUGACGCAGCGACGCCGCGUGCGGGAAGAAGGCCUUAGGGUUGUAAACCGCUUUCAGGAGGGACGAAGCCACUCGGGUGAAUAGCCCAGAGGGUGACGGUACCUCCAGAAGAAGCCCCGGCUAACUACGUGCCAGCCGCCGCCGUAAUAC